rnacentral:piRNA from 1 species
UACAUAAAUGGUGACACCUCACAG